CCUACGGGGGGCAGCAGUGAGGAAUAUUGGUCAAUGGGCGGGAGCCUGAACCAGCCAAGUCGCGUGAGGGAAGACGGUCCUAUGGAUUGUAAACCUCUUUAGGCGGGGAGCAAUGCCGGGCACGCGUGCCCGGAGGGAGAGUACCCGCAGCAUAAGCAUCGGCGAACUCCGUGCCAGCAGCCGCGGUAAUACGGAGGAUGCGAGCGUUAUCCGGAAUUACUGGGUGUAAAGGGAGCGUAGGCGGGAUGGCAAGUUGGGGGUUAAAUCUACCGGCUCAACUGGUAGUCGCACUCAAAACUGAUAUUCUUGAGUGAGGUAGAGGCAGGCGGAAUUCCUAGUGUAGCGGUGAAAUGCGUAGAUAUUAGGAGGAACACCAGUGGCGAAGGCGGCCUGCUGGGCUUUUACUGACGCUGAGGCUCGAAAGUGUGGGGAGCAAACAGGAUUAGAUACCCUUGUAGUC
rnacentral:rRNA from 1 species